rnacentral:rRNA from 1 species
UUUAACGGCCGCGGUAUUUUGACCGUGCAAAGGUAGCGUAAUCACUUGUCUUUUAAAUGAAGACCUGUAUGAAUGGCAUAACGAGGGCUAAACUGUCUCCUUUCCCCAGUCAAUGAAGUUGAUCUUUCCGUGCAGAAGCGGGAAUGAAUACAUAAGACGAGAAGACCCUAUGGAGCUUAAGACACAAGGCAGCGAACGUUAAAACCCCUGGACCAACAGGAACAACCAAGUUAUGCCUGCCCUUUUGUCUUUGGUUGGGGCGACCGCGGAGGAAAACAAAUCCCCCACGUGGAACAGGACCUGCUCCUCAAAACUAGAGCUACAGCUCUGGUUCACAGAACAUCUGACCAGAAAGAUCCGGUACUACCGAUCAACGGACCGAGUUACCCUAGGGAUAACAGCGCAAUCCCCUUUCAGAGCCCAUAUCGACAAGGGGGUUUACGACCUCGAUGUUGGAUCAGGACCCCCUAAUGGUGCAGCCGCUAUUA